AGUUUAUCCAUUCCCGUUUUGGUUUCGCAGCUGUCAUCCGGUCCCAACGCCAGAAUAGGAGAAAAACCUGCAGGCUAAGAGAGAAGGGAGGGCUGGGCCUGAGGUUCAGUCUUGGUCAUCUCCGACUGGCGGCGCUAGGAUUUCCCCCUUCCUGUGUCUUGAUGGGUUCCUCCAACACUCACUUUGUAUCGAUAAACGACCCUGCAGUUCUUCACGACCUGCAUUGCGCUGGCAGUCCUGAGUGAAGAACUCUCCUCUCAUCCCAGAGAUGGGAAACCUGGAUCUGAGACUGCCAGCUAGCUGCGGCCUCCUAGUCUGUAAAGCGAAGGGAGACCAGGACGCUCCCAAGGACCCGGCUUAUCGCCCCUCCCUUUCCUUCCCGGGGACCCAGAACAGACCACAAGACGGAGGGUGGCCGCUGGAGGUCGCCGUGGCCCCGCGAUACCACCAACCGACAGAAAUGGAGAACAGUUGAUUCAGAUUCAGCUGAUAUUCUCAGGUCUGGAGCGGGCCUGAGCGCUUUAAUUAGCCCGGGGCUAAUGUCCUCACCCAUCUUUGUUUAUAGAACGUUGAAACUCCAGUACUGUUGCACCAAGAAGUUUCCGGUCCCGGUACAGAUCAGUGAGGAAGAGGCUAUUGACAAGUGUGGAUUUGCCCAGGCCAGACUCUCCUGAGAGGAGAGAGGACAGAGGCACCAAAUCAGAAGGGACCCUUCUCUGGGCUGUCUGAUAGUCUGCAGAGACACAGCUGCUUCCGUGCUCUAGGAGAGAGGGACUCCUUGGAGAUCUGAUCUCACUAGUAGUCGUAAUUCUUUGGAUGGGCUCAGUUUGUACUGCUUCAUCCUUUGGAGAAGGCUCCAGACCCUCCUUUACUCUCCCGAGAUUCUAGAAAUUCUCAGGACUCAUCCAGAGAAGGAAUCAGCCAGAAGAUCCUAUGAAGACAAGAUCAAACCAAACACGCUGUGUUCGCCCCAGUUUUAAUAAGAAAUCUGACUGAAAACAAAUGGUUGAAUGUGCUGCUAACAGAGAGGGCCAAACGAUGAUGUCUAUUGUGGCAGCUGAACAAAGUGAGACUUACAGAACUGGAACUGCUGCCCUGACAGCAACUGAAGCAGAAAGAGAAGAAAGGAGCUUACAACCAGGACACUCAAACUCAGGCCAGGAGUCCGUCUAUGAUCCAAUUCCAAUCAGUCUGACAAGUCACUCUGAUCCAGCACGAUUAUCCUAUGCACAUGUUUUUUAAAGAACAAAAAAGGAAGUUUCGAGUUGGUAUGUGUGUUUUUUAAAGACACAAACCACAUCCUCUUUCUAUUCAAUUAAAUUCAAGGGAAAGGAAUUUUGGUCUUUAUAAUCAAGGGCGAUUAUAACCAACAGUGUGUCAUGGAAAUGCAAAAUGACUACAGAGCAAUUGACAGCAGCAUCUUCUGUAUUCUCUCCAUAUUAAACCUGUUCUUUUUUUUUUUUUGAGACGGAGUCUUGCUCUUAUCCCCCAGGUGGAGUGCAAUGGCGCGACCUCGGCUCACUGCAACCUCUGCCUUCCGGGUUUAAGCGAUUGUCCUGCCUCAGCCUCCUGAGUAGCUGGGAUUACAGGUGCCUGCCACCAUGCCCGGCUAAUUUUUGUAUUUUUAGUAGAGACGGGGUUUCACCAUGUUGGCCAGGCUGGUCUCGAACUCCUGACCUCAGGUGAUCUGCCCGCCUCGGCCUCCCAAAGUGCUGGGAUUACAAGUAUGAGCCACCGUGCCUGGCCUAAAACUGUUCUUAUGCUGACUCUAUCACUUAUUGAAUCAAAGUUGGCAUUAAUUUCACUUUAUAGUUUAAUUAACUAUAAACACUAACAUUUUAAAAAUUAAGCAACUUUGUCUAAAUUGGAGUCUUUGUCAUUAAUGUGUAUUUAGACACUGGUAAAUGUUUUUAAGUCUGCUUCUGUUGUCUAUAAACAUGACUUUUGAUCUACAAACAUCUGAUAUUUCAUUACCUGGAUGAUUCGGACCAACCUAGUCGCUUCCAAAAACAGGAUUUUAGUUCAUCUUGAUGAAAUAUAAGAGGAAGGAAAAAACAACAUGAUUAAUUUCUAGGUCAAAGGGUGCCAGUAUUCAUAUUAGUGCUCCCUCUAAUUUAGAGUAGACUGUUUUACCUACAAUGGUUGUUAUAUUCUGCCAGAUAGACUCUUUCUAAAAACACAAUUAAUGGGCUUCCCCUCCUAACAUUCUAUAGUUUUCUGCCACAGCAAUGGGCGCUAAUGACACUAAUUCACAAAGUCCCUGUAUUAUCUUCUCAGUGAAAUCAAUACUAUUAAUAGCUAAAUGCCUACACGUUCUGGGCCCUGUGCAGUCAGGGUUCUGGAGGAAACAGAAUGUACCCACGGCUGGUUCAAAUAAAGAUCCUUAGUGAAGUGACUACAUACAGAGGUUUAUUUAGAGUUAAGGGAACAAACAAGGAAUGUCAAGGCAUCCAGUGAUUAGCAGCAGUGGGAAGCCUAAGUCUGAAGGAACUGAGUGUUGGAGAUGAGAGGUCAGUUACUAGACCUUAAUGAGAGCUGGAAUUGGGAAGAAUGGACUGCCUACAGAAGCCGCACUUGUGGAGAGACACCACUUCUACCAGGCACAAGGUGCUGAAGUAAGCAGUGAGGCAAAGUAAUACCCCAAAUUCUCUCUAGCCCCACUAAUCUUCUGCUGGGGCCUGUCAUUGGCAAACAGGAAGCCCAGGAGAUGCAGUCCACUAGGGUCAGCAUUCUGGGGCACAAAGCAGGGCAGAGAUGGGGAGAAUGAGAAGGAAAUCAGGAAGAGGUGAAAGGAAUACCAGAUGAUCUGAAAGAGUUAAAGUCUCUUACUUUCCUGAGUAGGAAGAACUUAAAUAUGGGAGAGCGUCAUUGUAAAGGGCAUAUCAGAAGCCUUCAAAAUCUAUCAAAAUAGUUUUAAAAUUAAGGUUAAUUUAUAAUUUUCACAUUACUUGUAGACUCCACUUAAAUUCCAUAAAAUAUGAUUUAUUACUGGAUUUUGAAGCAUCUAUGUGAGCUAAAUUUAAAACUCUUUGGAAGACGUUGGACAAUUAGAAG
rnacentral:lncRNA from 1 species